rnacentral:rRNA from 1 species
UACGUAGGGGGCUAGCGUUGUCCGGAAUCAUUGGGCGUAAAGCGCGUGUAGGCGGCCCGGUAAGUCCGCUGUGAAAGUCGGGGGCUCAACCCUCGAAUGCCGGUGGAUACUGUCGGGCUAGAGUACGGAAGAGGCGAGUGGAAUUCCUGGUGUAGCGGUGAAAUGCGCAGAUAUCAGGAGGAACACCAACAGCGAAGGCAGCACUCUGGGCCGGUACUGACGCUGAGGAGCGAAAGCAUGGGGAACGAACAGG